UUUGACCUCGGAUCAGGUAGGAAUACCCGCUGAACUUAAGCAUAUCAAUAAGCGG
rnacentral:rRNA from 1 species